AUGCAAGUGAUGGAAAAAUAUCAUUUUACAGAAAAAAAUGAUGCUAACAAAGGAACCACUGAUGCAU